rnacentral:sRNA from 12 species
AUUUUAGUGAAUAUAUACUAUUAUCUCAGUGAAAACAUAAUUUCGCAGAUUAUGCUGAGGUAUACUGAAAUGGUCGGUAGUAUACGAAACAAGGAUACUUGUGGAAAUUACCGUUUUUUAUGCAGUGAUGUUUAAAAAGAAUCAAUAAAUCAAAGGUGUAGCACUAUUAUAAUCGCAGAUAAAAGCAACUAUCAUGUCGGUAACGCAAUAGACGCAUCAGAUGAUGAAGAAUCCAAGUUAGGGAAUUAGUUGGUUACUGAUUUCACACCUCGGAAAUACCAUAAGUUAUUUCGCUGUGAAGCAAGGAAACUUGUGUAUAAGAUGUGUAUAGGUUCUAAGUAGGCAAAGGCGAGAAGAAUUAAAGAAUUAAUAGUAAUGAAUUGUUGCUGAAAGGUGUAGGUAAUCAUUCCUAUCAAGGCUUGAAAUUAUUUGUGGCAGGAAUGUUAUAAGGUCGCUACUUAUAGCACAUACCUGUUUCCCUUGUGGCUGAAUAUAUCUGAAGAUUGUAUUUAGUAGAAUGAAGAUUCAAUAGUAUAUAUUCAAUAAA